CUCCGUGCGUGGAAUGGUAAGGAGGGGUGAGUUUUCUCAGAGUCAAGGGUCUACCAUGGAAAGCAGCCAAUCUACAGCCAUCUGGUAUGUCUUAUCUAAAAGACUGGCUGCUGGGAGUGAGGACUGGCUGUAAUAGUCCGUGGGGUAGAUCACACUGGAUGGAAGCUGGGGCAGAAGGGCAGGUUUCGAAGAGGUUGGCCAAGGUGUGAGUUUCCUUCCUCACCAGAGAGCUGCCCCUGCUGGCUCCUGAAGAACUCUUACCUGUGUCCACAGAAGCUCCAGUGUUUGGACAUCUGCCAUCUACAGGACAUUGUGCCCAGCCUGAGAAGCUCACAACAGAACCCAGAGCAAAGGAAAGUAAGGAUCAAAGACAUGCUGUAUCACAGUUGAUGGCUUUCAAUAGGUAUCUCAGCAUGAAACUGCCUUCACCUCAGAAAUACCCAGCCUCAAAAGCAUAUUCAAGCAGUUCUUCAUGACUCCCGUAAAUCAAGCUCUCAUCAUUGAGCCAUGGGAGCAAAUGAAUAUUCUCUUUUAAAGAGUGAACAAGCAAAUGCUUGGAAUAAAAAGAAAGAAUUACAUUGAAUCUUUUAAAAGACUCAGUUUUCCAACCUGGGCUGGCUAAGCAGGUAAGCCUGACCCAGAGUCCUGGGCCAAUGUUUCCAUCUUCUGUGAAAUUUGUUGGCCACUGAGAUGGGAUAUUUUGGUAGCUGUGCCUUUUGUUUUACCAUAGAGGACUUCUGGGAAGAGUAAAUAGCAUAACAUCCCCCAAACAUCUAGCACAAUGCCUGCCCAUACAUUAUAUGCCAGUUCCCUUGCCCUUUCUGUUCUUCUUCUAGCUUGUUCUGACCUUAAUUUAUUGAUUUAUUAAUUAGCUCUUCCUGUGGGUACCUCCACUCUAGACAGUGGACACUUUAAAUGUGGUGAUAAUGUCUUAU
rnacentral:lncRNA from 10 species